rnacentral:ribozyme from 1 species
UGCCCAGUAACUCUUAUCCAUACCUCCUCGUGGUACUGGCAGGGGUACGAGAUCGGGUAACCAACCGGUGGG